GAUGAACGCUGGCGGCGUGCUUAACACAUGCAAGUCGAACGGAAAGGCGCGGCUUUUGUGGGGUUCUCGAUUGGGGAACGGGUGAGUAACACGUGUGUAACCUGCCCUUGUCUUUCGGGUAACAUCAGGAAACUGGGGCUAAUAUCGGAUAGGAUAUUCUGCAGCAUGGGGGGGGAUGGAAAGUUUCGGCGGUUGGGGAUGGACUCGCGGGUUAUCCGCUUGUUGGUGGGGUAGGCGCUGACCAAGGGUUUGACGGGUAGCCUGCCUGAGAGGGUGAACAGCCACCAUGCGACUGCGGUACGGCCCAGUCUCCUACGGUCGGCAGUGGUCGGAAAUAUUGCACAACGGGCGGACGCCUGUGACGACAGUGCCCCGUGCGGAAUGACGGCCUUCGGGUUGUGAACAGCUUUCGCCUUUGCCGAAGCGUGCGUGACGGUAAUGGGUCAAGAAGCACCGGCUAACUACGUG
rnacentral:rRNA from 1 species